rnacentral:rRNA from 1 species
CCUACGGGGGGCUGCAGUGGGGAAUAUUGCACACUGGGGGAAACCCUGAUGCAGCAACGCCGCGUGAGCGAUGAAGGCCUUCGGGCCGUAAAGCUCUGUCCUAAGGGAAGAAUACUGACGGUACCUUAGGAGGAAGCCCCGGCUAACUACGUGCCAGCAGCCGCGGUAAUACGUAGGGGGCUAGCGUUAUACGGAAUUACUGGGCAUAAAGGGUGCGUAGGCGGACCAUGAAGUCAGAGGGGAAAGGCUAUGGCUCAACCGUAUUAAGCCUUUGAAACUGUAGGGCUUGAGUGGAGGAGAGUGGAGUGGAAUUCCCUGGGUUGCGGUGAAGUGCGUAGAUAUUGGGAGGUAAACCAGUUGCGAAGGCGGCUCACUGGAAUGUAAGUGUCGCUGAGGCACGAAAGCGUGGGGAGCGAACAGGAUUAGAUACCCUUGUAGUC